rnacentral:lncRNA from 13 species
CUUAGGCCUAUAAUCUCAGCACUUUGGGAGGCCGAGGCGGUGGAUUACUAGAUCAAGAAAUAGAGAACAUCCUGUUCAACAAGAACCACAGUAGCUGCUGCGAAGAGAAAGAUAAUAGCAUAGGAUAUUUUCUGCUAAGUAUUUGGGUUGCUUCCUUCUAUCAAAAAAUUAAAAAUAAACUCAGGCUAUUGAAUAUAACUAAUUGUAGCAACUAGGUGAAUUUUCCCUAAGGGAAGAUAAGGUAAAGUAGGGGACAAAGUAUAUUGGGAAAGCAGAAGCUCCGACAACAAGAGCAUCAUUUGUAAAACUCCUUCCUGUUUCCGUGAAACUUUGGUCUUUAUAAACUUUCCAUGGUGAUCUCCGCUUCAACCGCCAAACUGUUCCUCUUCCGAUG